rnacentral:rRNA from 1 species
UAGGGAAUCUUCGUCAAUGGGGGGAACCCUGACCGAGCAACGCCGCGUGAGUGAAGAAGGUUUUCGGAUCGUAAAGCUCUGUUGUUAAGGAAGAACGAGUGUGAGAAUGGAAAGUUCAUGCUGUUACGGUACUUAACCAGAAAGGGACGGCUAACUACGUGCCAGCAGCCGCGGUAAUACGUAGGUCCCGAGCGUUGUCCGGAUUUAUUGGGCGUAAAGCGAGCGCAGGCGGUUAGAAAAGUCUGAAGUGAAAGGCAGUGGCUCAACCAUUGUAGGCUUUGAAAACUGUUUAACUUGAGUGCAGAAGGGGAGAGUGGAAUUCCAUGUGUAGCGGUGAAAUGCGUAGAUAUAUGGAGGAACACCGGUGGCGAAAGAGGCUCACUAGUCUGUAACUGACGCUGAGGCUCGAAAGAGUGGGGAGCGAACAGG